UAGGACUGCAAGACUAUAUCUUACAUCUAUUGAAUGCAAAUCAAUUACUUUAAUUAAGCUAAGUCCUC
rnacentral:tRNA from 1 species